rnacentral:rRNA from 1 species
AUUGAACGCUGGCGGCAGGCCUAACACAUGCAAGUCGAGCGGAUGAAGGGAGCUUGCUCCUGGAUUCAGCGGCGGACGGGUGAGUAAUGCCUAGGAAUCUGCCUGGUCGUGGGGGAUAACGUCCGGAAACGGGCGCUAAUACCGCAUACGUCCUGAGGGAGAAAGUGGGGGAUCUUCGGACCUCACGCUAUCAGAUGAGCCUAGGUCGGAUUAGCUAGUUGGUGGGGUAACGGCCUACCAAGGCGACGAUCCGUAACUGGUCUGAGAGGAUGAUCAGUCACACUGGAAGUGAGACAGGGUCCAGACUCCUACGGGAGGCAGCAGUGGGGAAUAUUGGACAAUGGGCGAAAGCCUGAUCCAGCCAUGCCGCGUGUGUGAAGAAGGUCUUCGGAUUGUAAAGCACUUUAAGUUGGGAGGAAGGGCAGUAAGUUAAUACCUUGCUGUUUUGACGUUACCAACAGAAUAAGCACCGGCUAACUUCGUG